GACGAACGCUGGCGGCGUGCUUAACACAUGCAAGUCGAACGGAAAGGCCCUGCUUUUGUGGGGUGCUCGAGUGGCGAACGGGUGAGUAACACGUGAGUAACCUGCCCUUGACUUUGGGAUAACUUCAGGAAACUGGGGCUAAUACCGGAUAGGAGCUCCUGCUGCGUGGUGGGGGUUGGAAAGAUUCGGCGGUUGGGGAUGGACUCGAGGCUUAUCAGCUUGUUGGUGGGGUAGUGGCGUACCAAGGCUUUGACGGGUAGGCGGCCUGAGAGGGUGACCGGCCACAUUGGGACUGAGGUACGGCCCAGAAUCCUACGGGAGGCAGCGGUGGGGAAUAUUGCACAAUGGGCGGAAGCCUGAUGCGACAACGCCGCGUGCGUGAUGACGGCCUUCGGGUUGUAAACCGCUUUCGCCUGUGACGAAGCGUGAGUGACGGUAAUGGGUAAAGAAGCACCGGCUAACUACGUG
rnacentral:rRNA from 1 species